rnacentral:tRNA from 1 species
GCGCCGGUGGUGUUAGUCGCAGCAUCGCUACCCGGAAAGCAGUAGGUGCUGGUUCGAGUCCCGCCUGGCGCA